rnacentral:tRNA from 2 species
GGAGGAAUCGCCUAAUGGUAUGGCAGCAGACUUGAAAUCUGCCGCGGGCAACCGUGUGAGAGUUCGAAUCCCUCUUCCUCCG